rnacentral:rRNA from 1 species
UUAAAAAUGCAAAGCCUAAAUUAUUAGUAGUUAAGUUCUUGAAAAUUAAUGAAGAUGGCGGUAUUUUAGUCUAUUCAGAGGAAUCUGCCCUGUGAUUGAUAUUCCACGAUUUAAAUUACUCAGAUUUUUAGCUUGCAUAUCGCUGUAGGUUGAAUAUUUUUAUUGAAUUUUAAUAUUCAUGAUUUUUAAUGAAAGUAAAUCAAGUCAAGAUGUAGCUUAUAUCUGAGCAGAGGUGGAUUACAUUAUUUAUAUAUGUGGUUAGUUUCUUGAAAAGGUUACUAUAAAAUGGAUUUGAAGGUAAUUUUUUACUAAAAUUUGAAAAAUGAUUUUAGCUCUAAAAU